rnacentral:lncRNA from 10 species
AGACUUGGCGAAGCGCUGCGCUCGCGCCCGGAUCCCUCAGGUAAGCGCGCGGCCCCGAGGUCUCGGGUUCUCCAGGCUCAGACUUCCCCAGAGGGGGAGUAGGGGCUGACAUGGGGGGUCUCGGCGGUGAGGGGCGCCGGCCGUUUGUGGGGAGAAAACGGGGGGCCCAGGCCAGCCUCGCGCGCGUCUCGGGCGGGCCGGUGGGCGACGCGGGGAGGCGGCGCGAAUGCGCGUGCGCGCGCGCGCGCGGCGCUGGCCUGGGGGAAGCCUCAGGACCGCGCUCCCCCGGGCCUAGCGCCUUUCUGCGCGUGUGCGCCCUUAUGGUCGGUGCGGGAGACCCCGUAUCCUCCAGCUGCUUCCGGUGGCCCUUCCUCAGGUCAUGUCCCGCAGUCCCCUGCCUCUGAACCGCGCUCUCGCGAGUUUCCGUAGCCUUCGCGUCCUUCCUCCCCAGCUCUGAUUCGCCUUUAUGUGGAGAUUCCCCUAGGCCUUGGUACAUCCCCAGAAUUGACCAUCGUUCCUCAUCGUUACCUAGAGUAUGAGUUUUUCAGGUUUUUGUAUCACAGGCCCCCAGUUAUCUCCCACACACUACCCCGAGGACCGAGGUUCCCCGCUGUCUUGCAGAGAAGGCCUCCUUGUAGGGUGGCCAGAAACAGAGGAUCGACUCCGUGGAAACAAGGACGGCUGGGUGCAGUUCCUCACCCUAUAACCCCAGCACUUUGGGAGGCCAAGGCGAGUGGAUCACCUGAGGUCCGGAGUUCGAGACCAGCCUGUCUAACAUGGUGAAACUCCAUCUCUGCCAAAAAUACAAAAAUUAGCUGGGCGUGGUGUCACGCGCCUGUAAAACCAGCUACUGGGGAGGCCAAGGCAGGAGAAUCGCUUGGACUUGGGAGGUGGAGGUUGCAGUGAGCCAAGAUGGCACCAUUGUACUCCAGGCUGAGCAAGCUAGCAAGACUCACUCUCCAAAAAAAAGAAAAAAAGAUUUUUUUUUAAUAAGCCAGGCAUGGUGACACAUGUCUGUGGUCCCAGCUACUUGGGAGGCUGAGGCAGGAGGAUUGCUUGAGCCCCGGAGGUUGAGGCUGCAGUGAACUGUGAUGGCACUACUGCAUUCCAGCCUGGGCAACAGAGCGAGACCCUGUCUCUAAAUAAAUAAAUAAAAUACAUACGUGUAGCGCCGGCCGUGGUGGCUCACGCCUGUAAUCCUAGCACUUUGGGAGGCCAAGGCGGGUGGAUCACGAGAUCAGGAGAUCAAGACCAUCCUGGCUAACACGGUGAAACCCUGUCUCUACUAAAAAUAAAAAAAAGCCAGGCAUGGUGGUGGACGCCUGUGGUCCCGGCUACUCCCAAAGGAGGCUGAGGCAGGAAAAUGGUGUGAACUCAGGAGGCAGAGCUUGCAGUGAGCCAGGAUCGUGCCACUGCACUCCAGCCUGGGCGACAGAGUGAGACUCCGUCUCAAAAAAAAAAAAAAAUUGUGUGUGUGUGUGUGUGUGUGUAAAGAAACAAGCCCCAGGCUGGGCGCAGUGGCUCACGCCUGUAAUCCCAGCACUUUGGGGGGCCUAGGCAGGUAUAUCACAAGGUCAGGAGUUCGAGAGCAGCCUGACCAAUAUGGUGAAAUCCCACCUCUACUAAAAAUAUAAAAAAUUAGCCAGGCAUAGUGGUGCACAUCUGUUGUCCCAGCUGCUUGGGAGGCUAAGGCAGGAGAAUUGCUUGAACCAGGGAGGCAGAGGUUGCAGUGAGCCAGGAUCGCGCCACUGCCCUCCAGCCUGGGGGACAGAGUGAGACUGUCCC